rnacentral:lncRNA from 1 species
UAAAGAAGAAGUCCAGGAUAUGCUUGAGACUUCAUCCAUAGAGAAAAUUUAUCAUGAUUAACAAUUUCUCUUAGCAGUGACACUUAGAAAAUUGGACAAAAGGCACAGCGGCUCAUAGUGAAUAAUGUCUUCGCAACCAUCAAGUCUUUCCAGCUUUUUGGCAUACAUAUAUGCAUAUGUAUAUAUAUAUGCAUAGUCUCACACCUACAGAACAUCUCGGCUAAAUCCAUCAACUGAAGUUAAAUUUUGAGAUGACAACGUGACUUUGAGGAUAAACUUUAGGUACAGCAAAUUCUUUCUUCAAUUAUACUCCAUAAAAAUCUAUUGAAAUCACUCAUAGAUGGGAUCACUUGAUCUCAAAAUGCUCAGCAGACCUGGAUUUGGUCUAGCAUUGUUUAAAUAUACAUGAAAACUGAAUUUAAAUGAAAUCAUUAAGAUUUCCUAGCAUUUUAGU